CUAGUCGGUGGGGUAAAAGCCUACCGAGGCGACGAUCGGUAGCUGGUCUGAGAGGACGAUCAGCCACACUGGGAUUGAGAACGGCCCAGACUCCUACGGGGGGCAGCAGUGAGGAAUUUUCCGCAAUGGACGAAAGUCUGACGGAGCAACGCCGCGUGCAGGAAGACGGCCUUCGGGUUGUAAACUGCUUUUCUCAGGGACGAGCAAGGACGGUACCUGAGGAAGAAGCCCCGGCUAACUACGUGCCAGCAGCCGCGGUAAUACGUAGGGGGCGAGCGUUGUCCGGAUUUAUUGGGCGUAAAGCGUCCGCAGGCGGUGGAGCAAGUUCGAGGUGACAGUACGCGGCUUAACCGCGCAAGGUUCUUGAAAACUGCUCGACUUGAGGGCUUCAGAGGGACCCGGAAUUCCGGGUGGAGUGGUGAAAUGCGUAGAGAUCCGGAGGAACACCAAAGGCGCAGGCAGGGUCCUGGGAAGCAUCUGACGCUCAUGGACGAAAGCUAGGGGAGCGAACGGGAUUAGAUACCCCGGUAGUCCUAGCCGUAAACGAUGACCACUAGACGUGGGAGGUAUCGACCCCUUCCGUGUCGUCGCAAACGCACUAAGUGGUCCGCCUGGGGAGUACGGUCGCAAGAUUAAAACUCAAAGGAAUUGACG
rnacentral:rRNA from 1 species